UACAGAGGUCCCGAGCGUUGUUCGGAUUCAUUGGGCGUAAAGGGUGCGUAGGCGGUUUCCUAAGUUUGAUGUGAAAUCCCGGGGCUUAACCCUGGAAUUGCAUUGAAUACUGGGAGACUAGAGUACUGGAGAGGAAACUGGAAUUUACGGUGUAGCAGUGAAAUGCGUAGAGAUCGUAAGGAAGACCAGUGGCGAAGGCGAGUUUCUGGACAGUUACUGACGCUGAGGCACGAAGGCCAGGGAGCAAACGGG
rnacentral:rRNA from 1 species